rnacentral:rRNA from 1 species
UUGACGGUACCCUACUAGAAAGGAGCCGCUAACUUCGUGCCAGAAGCGUCGGUAAUACGGGGGCUCCAAGCGUUAUCCGGUGUUAUUGGGCGUAAAGAGUCGUGUAGGUGGUUGGGUAAGUUAUCUUUCAAAUAUCUUUGCUUAACAAAGAGGAGGGGGAUAAUACUGCUCGACUAGAAUUUUCUCAAAGGAGAUCGGAACUGAGGGAGGAGUAGUGAAAUGCGUUGAUACCCUCGGGAACACCAGUGGCGUAGCCGGAUCUCUGGGAGAAGAUUGACACUGAGACACGAAAGCUAGGGGAGCGAAGCAGAUUAGAGACCUGCGUAGUCCUAGCCGUAAACGCAUGCUUGCUAGCUGCAUGAAUCUACCUUCGGGUGGUAUCGUGUGGCGAAGGUAACCCGUUAAGCAAGCCGCCUGGAAAGUACGGCCGCAAGGCUGAAAUUCAAAGGAAUUGGCGGGGAGGCACACAACCAGUGGAACAUGUGGUUUAAUUCGAGACUAACCGAAGAACCUCACCAGGGUUUGACAUGUAGCUGCACGUCUUAAGAAAUUAAGACUCUCUUGAAGGUGCUACACAGGUGCUGCAUGGCUGUCGUCAGCUCGUUCCGUGAGGAGUGCCCUUAAGUGGGACAACGAGCGCAACCCCUAUUACAUGUUAGAAAUGUCAUGUAAGACUGCCUUGCCACCCGGCGGGGAGGAAGGAGGGGCAGACGUCAAGUCCGCAUGGUCCUUAUGCCCUGGGCUACACACAUGUUACAAUGAGUACGGCAAUGAGUCUGUCGCGAGCACGUAAGUGUAAGCUAAUCUCUUAAAUGUACUCUCAGUGGGGAUUGAGGUCUGCAACUCGACCUCAUGAA